CAGAAAUUAUUUUCAUCUUCGUACAAAAGUCAAUUCAAAUCCAUAUUUAAAUGAUAGACAGUGCAUAAGUACAGUUCUUUAUUUUGUGUCUCCCCUAUACAUAAUAUAACAUAAAUCCCCUGUACAAUGCAAUGUAAAUACGACUUAUAUAAAUAGAAAUUGAUAGAAUUCGAUUUUACAUUGUUUUGUCGUUCCUGUUAUCCACUAAAGUCAUAUCAAUGCUUUUGUGUAUAUCAGAUAUAAAAGUGAAGUUUAGCAAACAUGACAAAAUAGAUUAAUCGGUGUUCUUGCGAUACUACUUGUAUCAGAUAUAGAUACAUAGAAAACAUAUCUCUAUCUAUAAUCAUUUUUGAUAACGACUCACCUUGUUACAGAAAAAUUGCACCGCGUGAUACGCUUUUCUGAUGCACGAUCAUCAUCAUACAAAUGUUAAACCAUUAACCUCAUAAUUCUUAACUAUUUUUUCAUUUUUUCAACGCGGUUAAGAUUUAGAAUUAAAAAUAUUUUUUUGGUAUUUAUAUGGCAAACAGAUGAGCGCUAUGCGCGCGCACGUAUGCGCAUAUGUUUGCGUGUGAAUAAUUAUAGGAUAUUUAAUAAAGUACCACUAACGGAUAACAGAACAAUAAGGGGAGACACAUUUAACAAUCGUAAUCGGAUACGUUUAUCGAACGUCAAGGUCGUCUGAAAUUAUCUUACAUUAAAUUGGGCAACGUUCGUAAUCCUACCUUGCGCCAAAACCUAUCGUAAUUUCCACAAAGUAUAAUUACCGCGAGAAAGGAUUCGCGCGCAACUGUGGCCGCACGUCGACGACCUCGUGACAUUUUCGUGUUUAAAAAUAACUCGAAACGGUAGUUUUGGAUUUAAAUUCAAAGUAUCACUGUUAUCUAGAACUCCAUGAUAAUUUGUUAAUUUGUAUAAAAUGUCAUUAUUCAUAGCAAUCUAACCUCAUUUUACCACAUAGAUAUAAUUUAAAUUAUUUUGUUUUAACUUUCGCAUUCGAGCUAUUAUCUACUCCACUUCGAAUCUCUCGAAAUAUACUUGUGGAAAAAUUUAACAAAAUUCUGAUAGGUGCUCCGAGGGUAAAGUAGAUUGCGAAGCAUGAAAAGAUGAAGCGUAGUGACAGAAUGGAAAAGCAAGAUUCUACGAAAAAUUUUGGUCAGGCGGCAAAACGCCCAUUUUGAGACUCCAGGUACGAUACUGUGGAAGGUUGCUGCCCGGCCGGCAUCGCCAUUUUGGCAUUCGUAGCCGGAAAGUGUGUGUGCGCGCGCGAGGCCACGGUGCAGCUGGCGACCUUUAUCUAUACGUUUCGCCGUCUUUCUUCGCGUAAAGCCUUUCUUCGAAUCCAAGAAAGAACUGCUUUACCUUGUAACCAAACACGCUACGCUUUUGCAUUACCUUUCUUUCUCAGAAACUAAGACGUAAUUUUACUGUUUCCAAAUCAUGCAUAUCCCAAAAAUACUUCGAUAUAUUUCUCAGAACUCGAGAUUAUGCUUGCGAGUGAAAAGUAAAAUUAUGAAAAAAAAUUAAAUGUCUUGUCAAUUGAUUGACGAAAAUGACAAGAGGAAGACCUUAGUAUCCUUAGAAAAAAGAUUCUAUGGUUGUAUAUGUAUACGCAAGGAAUAUCUAGUAAAAUUUACAUGGGAGGGGGGCCUCCUCCCUUGUCGAAGCGAGACAACCUCUUUGUUCCAACUUUCUUAACAUUUUUAAUCCCCCAUCGUUUCAUUUUACUAUCGCACACGCUAAUUCGAGGUCCUUAGAAUUUACCGACACGAUUCACAAGAGCUUUUUAAAUACAACGCGGAUGGCGCGUCGAUCGACCUCAACUUUUCUAGAACUGUCUCCGAUCGUUUUUUGUAACAAUUUUACUUGGUACAUUGGUGAAAAUAAAGAAAGGAAAGUAUAUAACAAAAAAACUCUAUUACUCGAAUAUAACAAAUCUCCAAGUAACAAUACUCGAAAAUUCGAACUGCUCGAAUAUCCAAAUCUCACAUAUACAAAACAAAAUCUUUAUUUCAUGUAAACUCUUUGCGUUUUUCAGUCAUUUCGGCCGGGUAUUGAAAAAACAGAAAGAGACAGAAAAAGCACAAAAGAGAUAGAUACAUCGAAAUCGAACAUGCACGUAGGCGUCACUGCGUACGUCUUUCGAUAACAGAGGAUAGCUUCCGAAGAAAUGAGUCAUCUUCGUAACGAAUGCCAUCAACGUUAAAAUUUUCGUUCGCUUCGGGGCGAAUACCAACGUAAGUGACGAGAAAUGUUGAAAAUGGAACAGCUUCGAUAAGGAAUAGAAGCCACUACCGACAAUAGGAGCCACCAUUUCCAUGGGUGGCAGCGGCAACGUGCCCGGCAGGCAGCCAUGUUAAACUUAGUCGAAAACCAUUCAAGUUCGACCAGACAAAAUUUUCUCUGGUGAAAAUUGCCACACCCUACCCUGUUAGACCACCUUUAUAGCCGCACGAAACAAAUUUUCUUUCGAAAUCUAGCCGAAGAUAAAUCCAUUUGCUUAUACAAUGACAUAUUUGGGCGGUGGACGAAAUACCUUGGGAAAAUUUCCGACAAAAACGAAAAUCUCAAUUAUUGUUGAUUGAACGGUAACGAGUUUCAACUAUAUCCGACAACUUAAUCUCGAAUAUUACUCGAUCUAACCGGCGUCGGUAACACGAGGGGAUAACCAUGCCGGGUCAACACGCGGAACUUCAACGAUUUUUCCCAUUUAUUACACACCCAAGGAUACCUAUUUCCUCGCUUUGGAAAAACAAAAUAUGCCGAUGAUUACGUGGCAAUAUCUUUUUCACGACAAAAACCCUCUCUACACUGAUCAUGUUAUUUCGCGAAAUUCAUUAAGAUUCUACUGGAACGUAUUAAACAAGAAACUUAUUAGUAAUAUGUAGUCAAUCAAUAGGCAUAAAACUGUAUCAACAGUAAAUACAUACAUUACGUGCUAAUCACUAAUAUAUAGCACUCUAGCCCGAUAUAAAGAAACUGAGAAAAAUAUUCGAUACUGGAUCAACUGAGGUGAACGAUAACUAAGGAGAAGGGAGAAAAGAUGAAAAAUACGAAGUGCAAGUUACUGAUAUGAUACGUUUAAAUUUCUUUGAAGUAUAUUCAGUGCGUACUUUCCCUCUUGUCGGCUAGCUAAUAAUAAGCUUCCGAGGCGUUAGUCGAACGACAUACUCACUUCGAAGCCUUCAGACUUUGCCCAAAGGUUGCCAUCGUGUCCCGCGAUUGCA